AAUGGAAUUGCUGGAUUAUAUGGUAAGUUUAUGCUUAACUUUUUAAGAAACUGCCAAAUUAUUUUCUGAAAUGGCUGAACUAUUAUAAAUUCCCACCAUAAU
rnacentral:pre_miRNA from 1 species